GCAUAAUUGAUAAUUGUCCUCUGAUUUGAAAAAUUGUACAUGUCUGCAUGUGUAAACUUGGAAAAUAUUUGUACAGGAGAAGAAGACUACCAGACUAAAUUUCAGUUUUUCAAUCUCAACAUUGUAUCACACUUCUUUUUCAGUACUUAAAUUCUUAAUGAUUAUUGCACUGUUGGCUGGACUUGCUUCCUAUCUUCAAAAGCAUUGAGAAGGAACCGGUUCUGAUCCUGUUCAAAAAUGGCUUAAUGAUCCUAGUGUUCAUUCUCUUUGCCUUGUGAAAGAGACUAUGCAAAUUUUGGUUUGCUUCAGUUGUUGCUGAAGUCACAGAAACGGCAAUUGCAAUCUUCAUUUUCUUUGCCUUCUCAAGGAAACUUUGCAUACUAUUACUUGCUUGAGCUGCUUCCACUGAUCAACAAUAGCAGUUCUUAUUUUCUUAUGAAGAAGUCUCUGUAAAUGCAUACUUUUUCCAGCUUCGUCCAGUGCCUUCGAUUGUUCUAUUAUGAUGCCUAGGCCUUUAAUGUCAAUCUCCAGAACAUGUUCUAUCUUAUGCCAAUCUUCUCCUUCCUCCCUCUUACACCUCUGCUCCAAAUUUGGACACUGCCAGAUUGAAAGAUAUUCAAGUGAGGUCAGGUGCUGCAUUGCAUUUGGCAAGGAUGUAAUAUUCGGACAGUUCCAUAUUGACAGCUCCCUAAGUGACUUGAAGUUUUCGAUCCACUCGGGCAGGGUCUGUAGACUAGGAAAGUCUAGUAUGUGAAGAUCCUUCAAUGUAGUUAUGUAUUGCAGUCCCACAGGCAGAGAGGUGAAAUUGGGGCAAUGUGACAUUCUCAAGGAUCGUAAAGCAUUGAGGUUUUGUGUACCUUCCUCCGGUAAAUGAACCAAAUCUGGGCAACCUUCAACGUUCAACUUCUCAAGAGCAGUGAGAUGUUGUACUCCUGCUAAAGAUGAUAAUGCCAUGCAGUUCAAGAUGGACAACUCUCGGAGGGAGAUAAGACCUUGUAUCUCUGGCAAGGAUGUUAAGAGAGGGCAACCCCAAAUGCCAAGAAAUUCAAGACAAGUGAGAUUGCUCAAUCCCCACGGUAAGGAGACCAAUUUGUCACACAACUCAAUAUGAAUAGAUUUUAAGUUAGCAAGGUUUUCUACCUCCCUUUGUAAAGAGCUAACUUCAGAAAAUUCACAUAUUCGGAGGGAAGUAAGGGAUGUUAGGCUUGGUAACGCCCAUAGUAGCAUCUCACUGCUAUCCCUCAACUCCAAUUCCUCAAGAGAUGGAAGCCAGUGGGGCAUGCUCCUCAACUUUGGACAUCCCUUCACCACCAACUUCUUGAUGUGGGCCAGUACUUCACCUUCAUCAAAGUUUAGCCAUUCUUCAAGGUUAGGCAUAUCACAAAUCUCGAAAUGUUUGAGAAAUGGAAACCCUUUGGUAACACCACUUCCAUAGAACUCUUUGCUAAUGCAUGUGACAGCAUCCAUACCUGUGAUAUAAAGAAACUUGAGAACAGGAAGCUGUCCAAGCGGCGGGAGCAAUUCACAAUUUUUGCAGUUCUUCAACUUUAUCUCCACUAGCUUUGUUAGAAUGGCAUCCAUCAUCCAGGUAGGGAACUUCACACCCAUAUAUCUUUUUAGGUGAAACCUUUUCAGAUUUUCAUGGGGCUUGAGGGCUUCUAGAACACUUUCAGGAACGUCAACCGAGUAUCUUCCAAUAUAGUCAUGCUCCCAUGAUAGUUUCAAUAGAGAAAGAUUGUGCUUCUGCUGCAAUUUUGCUUUCAUAGCUUCUCUUCUGUACGUGACAUUUUCAAGCUUUUUAAUAGCCAAUUCACCUUUGAGAUUCAGUAACUUCAACUCUUCCAAUCUAUAACCAUGCUCCUUGCCCACAAUAAACUGCGAUAGCGUUUGUAGGGAUGUUAAUUUUCCAAUUCUAGGAGGCAUCUUUAAUAGCGAAUGACAAUGAUCAAUAACGAUAUGCCUUAGGCUAAUCAAGUUUCUUGUCAUUUUGGGCAUUUCUUUGAGUUCAAAACAAUGGGACAGAUUCAAGGUCUGCAAAUUUACUAGGGAGCUCAGGGAUUCAGGCAAUGCUUCAAUAUUAGUGUGUGAAAAAUCUAGGAAUCUGAGAUGUAUCAACUUGCCUAUGGAGUUAGGCAAAUUUUUUAUUUCAGUGCUACUUAAAAUCAACACAUGCAGGCACCUGAAUGCAGAGAAAAGGGUUCGAGGAACCUGUACAGCCUCCUGCCUUUCAGUCAAUGCAAGAAAGGUAUGCAAAUUCUUUGCUUUGUACAAGCAUUUUGGGAUUUUCAGCAUUCUUGCGUCGCAGACCAGCGAUAUGUGACGAGUUCUUUUUGGGAUGAUCUGCCUUGAGCCUGCCUCAAGAAUCGAACACUCAACUCCAGCAACAAAUUGAGCAAGAUCAUGCAUAAGAUCAUGAAUCUUGCAAGAAACAAUGCUACCAUCUUCAUCUUCCUCUGCAACUUGAAAGAAAGAUCUCCACAGCAAAUAGUUAAAAUAGUUGUUGCCUACAUCUUCCAGCUGCUCAUCAGCAUCACUUGGUUCCACCAAGCCUUCUGCCAUCCAAAUUUGAAUAAGCCUCUCUUUAUUGAUGUCAUAAUCUUUCGGGAAUACUGCACAAUAAGCAAAGCACCUCUUCAAAUAAGAUGGCAAGUGAUUGUAACUAAUUCUCAAAGCAGGUAAAAUUCCAUCGCGCUCUUGAGGUAGUCUCCACAGUUCAUUGUCCUUGACAUAUAACCAUUCUCGUUCCUCCCUUCUAGAGCGCAUCAAGCUUCCUAGAGUUUUAAUUGCCAGAGGAAUCCCACCACAUUUCUUGACAAUUUCCUUUCCAAUAGCAACCAUUCUUGGAGUCUGCUCUGCUCCCCCAUUUCCAAAUGCUCGUUUUCUGAACAAAGUCCAACAAUCAUCAUCAGAUAGUCUUGCCAGAUAACAUGUUGGUAGUGAACCCAUUAUUGCUGCAACUCCUGUGCUGCGACUUGUAACAAUGAUUUUGCUUCCCUUUGCACCUCCUCUCAACAGAGUUCUCAAACGAUCCCAUUUUUCAUAGUCUUCACUCCAAACAUCAUCCAGAACAAGUAGGAAUUUCUCCCCAGCCAAUCGUUCUCUAAGACGAGUUUGUAGAAGAUCCAUGCCCAAGAGAUCACAUCUUUCUUUUGUAGCAGCUUCUAUAAUCGCUUUUGUCAGCCUUGGAACAUCAAAAUCUUCAGAGACACAAACCCACAUCCUCAAUUUGAAACUAUCUUUUACCUUGACAUCAUUGAAGGCCAAUUGAGCAAGAGUUGUUUUACCGAUUCCACCCAUACCUACAAUGGGAAUUACAGAAAGAUCUUCUCCAUUACCCCAGCCAAUCAACAUAUCUACAAUCUCUGCCUUGUCUUUUUCUCUUCCAAAAACUUCUGACUCAAUCACAAAAGAGUGUGUCUGUCGACACUCAUUAUCUUCCUUUUCCACAUCUCUGAUUCCCUCUCUAAAAUGAAAAUUCACUCUCUCCAAUGCAAUAGCUUUCAACCUCUUAUUGAUCUCCUUUAUCAUGGAUCCCAUUUUAACAUGAAGAGCAACAGAAUUGGGAACCUGAAGAAAGCUAGACACCCACCGAUUUGUGUGAUCCUGAGAUUUCACCUUUUGCUGCAAAGCCUUAGUUGCAAACUCAUCCAAUACAGCAUCAGCAUCAUAGACUGCAUCUUUAAGCUUCAUCAACCAGUUCCGCACUGCCUUAUCCUUAACUUGGCGCUCCUCUGCAUCAUCAAGCACUGCUGCAAUUGUACUUAGGGUACUCUCCAGCUCUUCUAGUUCCUUCUUAGCACCCAACCACAACUCAUACUCAUCAAGCUUUGGAGAAGUUUACUCAUCAACCAAA
rnacentral:misc_RNA from 1 species